rnacentral:rRNA from 1 species
UAAUGGCUGUUCUCAGCUCGUGUUGUGAAAUGUUGGGUUAAGUCCCGCAACGAGCGCAACCCUUAUCCUUUGUUGCCAGCGGUCCGGCCGGGAACUCAAAGGAGACUGCCAGUGAUAAACUGGAGGAAGGUGGGGAUGACGUCAAGUCAUCAUGGCCCUUACGACCAGGGCUACACACGUGCUACAAUGGCGCAUACAAAGAGAAGCGACCUCGCGAGAGCAAGCGGACCUCAUAAAGUGCGUCGUAGUCCGGAUUGGAGUCUGCAACUCGACUCCAUGAAGUCGGAAUCGCUAGUAAUCGUGGAUCAGAAUGCCACGGUGAAUACGUUCCCGGGCCUUGUACACACCGCCCGUCACACCAUGGGAGUGGGUUGCAAAAGAAGUAGGUAGCUUAACCUUCGGGAGGGCGCUUAUACACUUUGUC